AUUGAACGCUGGCGGCAUGCCUUACACAUGCAAGUCGAACGGCAGCACGGGAGCAAUCCUGGUGGCGAGUGGCGAACGGGUGAGUAAAGUAUCGGAACGUGCCCAGUCGUGGGGGAUAACGUAGCGAAAGUUACGCUAAUACCGCAUACGAUCUAUGGAUGAAAGCGGGGGAUCGCAAGACCUCGCGCGAUUGGAGCGGCCGAUAUCAGAUUAGGUAGUUGGUGGGGUAAAGGCUCACCAAGCCGACGAUCUGUAGCUGGUCUGAGAGGACGACCAGACACACUGGGACUGAGACACGGCCCAGACUCCUACGGGAGGCAGCAGUGGGGAAUUUUGGACAAUGGGCGAAAGCCUGAUCCAGCCAUGCCGCGUGCAGGAUGAAGGCCUUCGGGUUGUAAACUGCUGUUGUACGGAACGAAAAGGUUUGGCCUAAUAAGCUGAGCUCAUGACGGUACCGUAAGAAUAAGCACCGGCUAACUACGUGCCAGCCGCCGCCGUAA
rnacentral:rRNA from 1 species